GUGUGUGUGUGUGUGCGUGCAUUUGUGAGCGCGAGUGUACGUAUGUUUUUGCAUUUGGAUGUGUUUGUGUGCAUUAUUUGUCGUUUAGUUAUAGAACUUGUAAAUAUCUCAUACAACAAGUGGUUAUUUAAAUAUAUGUACGCGUGUAUGUGCAUAUUUGUGAGCGCGCGUGUGCAUGUAUAUUUUCGUCCAUGUAAUUGUAAGCCAUGAGUAGAAACGCGAUGUGAAUGAAUUCAUUUCGUUUGUUUAGAUCUUUAAGUUAAACAUUUAAAAGUCAUAAAAUGUAAUUUAUAUAUAGAUUGCGAUUGACGCAAAACCAAAGGGCUUUGAACCACUAAAAUAUUAAUGAUAUACUAAAAAAAAAAAAAAAUAAAUAAAUAAAUAAAAUAGGAAAAUAAACCUAACAAGGGACUCUAAUAGCAGCCUAAAGUCGAACAAUUUCGCACUCAUCCGAGUGUCAUUCACACUGCGCUUAAAGCAAACGUUCAUCAGCGUAUUAAACUUUGGAAAAUAUUUGCUACGAUAAUGAUUUUUUAUAUGUAGCUCUGCUAAGCGAACUUGCAUUCCCAACUUUUCGAAAAGCUUGGCAUUGGUGUACGAGGAUUAGGCGGCAACAGUUUCUCCAAGUCAUUUUUUAAGUGUAUAAAAUUUUUCAAUUAAGUGAUUUCCGGCCUGUUUCUGGAUAUUUGACUUUUUUGACCGUUCAAUGCUGUGAACUAAGUUUCCGCUACAAGAAAAUUCUGCCGAAUAAUAUUAUUACUUUUACAAGCACUAUUACGCUUAUUUCAGAGCUCCGAUUUCAUCAGGCAUAUAGCUCUUUGAAUAGAGCCUAUACAACGCAUUUCUUAAUAUUACCUGCGAUGCUAUGCAGUUAAUAUACUCGUCGAGAAUGCGUCGUUUAUCUUUAAUUUUUCUCUCUAAUUCCCAGAUCAUCAACCUUUCACUUCGAACGUGUCAAAGUUUCUAUCGGUUAUCGUAGGCAUUACCCAAUUAUUUUUUGUGAUAAAUAUGUAAAGUCAAAGCUGAUUAAGGAACAACACUUUCGUGUAAACAAACUGUAAGCUAUUUUCAGGUCGAUAAUAAUCAAAAAAUAAAAAAAACAUCAAAUAAUUGCUUGUUUUGUCACAUAAUAAAUCGAUCAAGAAGCGUUUAAGACCGCUUCAAACGAUUAAAUUUACAGUGUUUCUAUACACCUUCAAUUAAGUUCCGGUUCAUCUUUUAUCCUAUGAUAUAUUAAUGCAAGACUUUGCGAUUAUUGGGCAGAAAAACUUUUAUCCUCUGAUGUCGGAACAUACGCUUCCUAUGUUGCGGUUACAACAAAUAUAUUUAAAUCGACUCAUUAUUUAUGUUUGUAUUUAUGGUAACUAAGCUUUUUAGAACUCGUAUAACAGUGGGACGGGAUCACUUAAAUAUUCAUAAAAAUACUCGCAUUUCGCUCGCUUGCAGUUACCAUAAACAAAUUGCCAUAAUACUACGUUACCUGACGUUGUACGUCAUCGCUUUUUGUCAACUUGAUCGUGAGCCUAUGCUUAAUUUUUAACCGAAUGAUAACAAUGUUGAGGAUAAUAAAAAAAAAGCUUGAAUCAAUCUUAUUAAGAGUUAUAUAAUCAUUUUGAAUAAUUUGUUCAUACUGUCGAUUUGUAAACUUUCCUUUUGGUGACACCGGUGGCUUCAAACCAGCACCUUUCUCUCAAAUGAAAAGUUCUGAAGCUUUUUAGCAUAACCCUUUACAACUUGUUUUACGAAA